GAGAGCAGAAUAUUUCAGAUGUCCAUCAAGAAGCCAUUUUGUGAUCCCACUUUUUCCUCAUGGUAUUCACUUGCGUUCCAUUGCUCACGAAGACAAGGAAGAAUACUCCGGUUGGAACUUUAUUGAAGCUAUAUGUUAAAAACAUCCUAAUGAUUGAUUCUGUACGUCGUUUGAAAUGUUCUUUCGACCGGUAAUAUCACUUUUUGUCCGAUAUAACGCUGACCAUAAUUAGCGUUUGGAUAUGUAUAACAAAUGCUCUAACAAAAGAAGGUAUUUGGACAUAACGGACAUUUUCGAACAUAACAAACAUUUAUUGUGGACCUGGGAUUCCUGGAGUGCUUUCUGAUGUAGAUCAUCAAAGGGGCAGUCAAGAAAUGGAACAGCAAGGCCACAGAACAUGACAUAAGCAGAGCUGUGGGAGACCAACUCAAGCCCCUGGUAUAGCCGGGGGUGGUGUUCACCACUCCAGCAGGCUGGAAAAUUGCGAUUGAUACUUUUUUUCAUACUAAGAUGGACCAAGAGUCUAUCGAUUGGCCGGUCAUUGGGUUCAUUUGACUUACAAUAUGUUCAAAUCAAGCUUUAUUAAUUCAGCACAUUUCAGACAUGGAUGCAACCCAAUGGAAACAAGAAAAGAAAAAGAAAAACCCACACCAAACUUAAAGACCGGAAGCAAACCAAAAUGGUAGCGCAACUAAAGGUGUUGACUCUCCACAUCUAUCAAGACAACUGGAGCACUGGGCCAGACACUCUUAAAUAGAACCUGGACCAGCUCAGGUGAAAUACCUUCCCACUUACAAGAUGGACAAGCCAGCACAGGUGUAACACAUACUGACUAACGGUGACACCAAUCAGUGCGGCCUAAGUGCUAACGAGCUAAAGUCCAACCUCAAAACAGAAAUGGAAAAACCAAAACCUGUAACACCUUCCCCCUUAAGACAACAAAUAUAUCCUAUAUUUGUUGGACACGUUUGCUCACCACCAACAGAAAACAACUUCCAUUUCACAUUAUAAUCAACUACAAUGCUUCACCUUCACCAAUAUAAACAUUGUCUACUGGCUGUCAACAAGAAAACACACGUAUUUCUAAAUAAUAAUAUACAAUCAUAUCUUUCCUCCUUUUUCUUUCUAUAGAAUGCUAAAACUCACUAGCUUCUAGAACUCUCAUCCCCUUGGAACAAGCACAAAACAAAACUCAUCUCCAAUACGGAAAAUCAAAACUCAAAUCAAAUUGUAUUAGUCACAUGCGCCAAAUACAACAGUGAAAUGCUUACUUACGAGCCCCUAACCAACAAUGCAGUUUCAAUACGGAAAAGAAUAAGAGAUCAAACUCAUCUCCAACACGGAAAAACGUGCCAAAAUAAAUUGCGAUCCAUGAUAACACACCGAUUAAAUGCAAAACAAAAAUAUUUUUGACUGCCAACCCUUGAGACAAUCAGAAACCAAGUUGUCCUUACCACAGACAUGUCUGAUUUCAAGAGGAAACUCCUGCGAUAUCCAUAGUAACUUUCCACCUCACCGCAGAGCUUCUCUCUCUUUUCAGGGUUCACUAGAUAGGCAUGUUGUUGGAUCGAGACCCAGUCCCCAAUGUCAUGCUCUAGUACAUUUGGGUUGGCACAUCUAUGAAUGAUCCCUGAUAUUCUAAAAGCAGGGCAACAAUCUCAAUAUAAUUGUACCCCAAAAUUGUCAGUUGGUUACAUAAAAAAUGAUGAUAUCAAAACCAAAUGUACACCCCUUUGUUAAUAUGUAUUGGCAAUAACUCACUUAAUGGUGUGGCGUGGAAUUAUAAAACAUAUCUUUUGUCUGGCUGAAUGUUUGAAAUAUGAGGUGAUUUGAGACAUGCUUCUUCAGUAGUGGAAUAAAGACAAUUAGCACUUGAAUGUUGUAAAGAAAUACUGUAGUGAAGUAGGAUUGUUAAUAAAAAUGAUUACAAAUGUA